rnacentral:rRNA from 1 species
GACGAACGCUGGCGGCGUGCUUAACACAUGCAAGUCGAACGCUGAAGCCCAGCUUGCUGGGUGGAUGAGUGGCGAACGGGUGAGUAACACGUGAGUAACCUGCCCCCUUCUUUGGGAUAACGCCCGGAAACGGGUGCUAAUACUGGAUAUUCACUGGCCUUCGCAUGGGGGUUGGUGGAAAGGUUUUUCUGGUGGGGGAUGGGCUCGCGGCCUAUCAGCUUGUUGGUGGGGUGAUGGCCUACCAAGGCUUUGACGGGUAGCCGGCCUGAGAGGGUGACCGGUCACAUUGGGACUGAGAUACGGCCCAGACUCCUACGGGAGGCAGCAGUGGGGAAUAUUGCACAAUGGGCGAAAGCCUGAUGCAGCGACGCCGCGUGAGGGAUGGAGGCCUUCGGGUUGUAAACCUCUUUCGCUCAUGGUCAAGCCGCAGCUUUGGGUUGUGGUGAGGGUAGUGGGUAAAGAAGCGCCGGCUAACUACGUGCCAGCAGCCGCGGUAAUACGUAGGGCGCGAGCGUUGUCCGGAAUUAUUGGGCGUAAAGGGCUUGUAGGCGGUUGGUCGCGUCUGCCGUGAAAUCCUCUGGCUUAACUGGGGGCGUGCGGUGGGUACGGGCUGACUUGAGUGCGGUAGGUGAGACUGGAACUCCUGUUGUAGCGGUGGAUGCGCAUAUAUCAGGAAGAACACCGGUGGGCGAAGGCGGGUCUCUGGUCCGUUACUGACGCUUGAGGAGCGAAAGCGUGGGGAGCGAACAGU